rfam:Roseovarius aestuarii strain CECT 7745 genome assembly, contig: 0009
ACCCCGUCACAACGGCUUCCUGGCGUGACGGUUAACUUUAAUGGAGCG